UAGGGAAUCUUCCGCAAUGGACGAAAGUCUGACGGAGCAACGCCGCGUGAGUGAAGAAGGAUUUCGGUUCGUAAAACUCUGUUGUUAGGGAAGAAAAAAUGUAUAGUAACUAUAUACAAAAGAGACGGUACCUAACCAGAAAGCCACGGCUAACUACGUGCCAGCAGCCGCGGUAAUACGUAGGUGGCAAGCGUUGUCCGGAAUUAUUGGGCGUAAAGCGCGCGCAGGUGGUUUAGAAAGUCUGAUGUGAAAGCCCACGGCUCAACCGUGGAGGGUCAUUGGAAACUAAUAAACUUGAGCGCAGGAGAGAAAAGUGGAAUUCCUAGUGUAGCGGUGAAAUGCGUAGAGAUUAGGAGGAACACCGGUGGCGAAAGCGGCUUUUUGGCCUGCAACUGACACUGAGGCGCGAAAGCGUGGGGAGCAAACAGG
rnacentral:rRNA from 1 species